GUGUUUAUUUUAGACACUUUGGAUCCGGGAGAAGGGAGAAGGAGAGAGCCGAGAGAGCUGAUGGAGUCGGAGCAGCUUCCAGCUGCAUGGUCUCUGCACGAUGAGGAAGCGGAGGUGGGCGGGGCCUCACCGCCAUUCAUGGGUGUGUCUGAAGACCUGGGAGGUGGUCCUUUAAUCCCCGUGACACAACAUAGAAAGGAUGAUCCGUGGUCAUGUGACAGCUCUGCGUCCUCCUCUGAAGACAGCGACGAUGAUGAUUCGAGGUGGAGGAAGAAAAAAAAGAAGAAGAAACUUAGGAAAAAGAAGAGCAAGAGAUCGAGUUCGUCAUCAUCGUCUUCCUCCAGUUCCUCGUCGGACAGUGACAGCAGUGAGGAAGAGAAGAAGAAGCGGAGGAGGAGGAGGAAAAGGAAAGAGAACGCUGUGACGACAGCGAUACCUGAGUCAGGCCUCGUGCUGGAAAUUGUGUUAACGCCACUAAAACAGCAAAACGACGAGCGAGAGAUGAAGAAAGCAAAAAAAGACAGCACUAGAGAGAAGAAAAAGAAGAAAGACAAGAAGAAGCGGAGGCAAAGAAAAAGAAGAAGAAGAACAAAAAGAAUAAAAAGAAAAAGAAGGACUCGAGCUCUUCAUCUUGUUCCUCAUCCUCUUCAGAUAGUGAGGAUGACAAGAAGAAGAAGAAAAGAAGAAGAAGAAGAAGAAGAAGGGGAAAAAGAAGG
ensembl:lncRNA